UACGUAGGGUGCGAGCGUUGUCCGGAAUUAUUGGCGUAAAGAGCUUGUAGGCGGUUUGUCGCGUCUGCUGUGAAAUUUCGGGGCUCAACCCCGAACUUGCAGUGGGUACGGGCAGACUAGAGUGUGGUAGGGGAGACUGGAAUUCCUGGUGUAGCGGUGAAAUGCGCAGAUAUCAGGAGGAACACCGAUGGCGAAGGCAGGUCUCUGGGCCACUACUGACGCUGAGAAGCGAAAGCAUGGGGAGCGAACAGG
rnacentral:rRNA from 1 species